AGAGUUUGAUUCUGGCUCAGGANNNACGCUAGCGGCAGGCUUAAUACAUGCAAGUCGUGGGGCAGCAUGGUGUAGCAAUACACUGAUGGCGACCGGCAAACGGGUGCGGAACACGUACGCAACCUUCCUUUAACUGGAGAAUAGCCCGGGGAAACCCGGAUUAAUACUCCGUAACAUUAUGAAGUGGCAUCACUUUAUAAUUAUAGCUCCGGCGGUUAAAGAUGGGCGUGCGCCUGAUUAGGUAGUUGGCGGGGUAACGGCCCACCAAGCCUACGAUCAGUAACUGGUGUGAGAGCACGACCAGUCACACGGGCACUGAGACACGGGCCCGACUCCUACGGGAGGCAGCAGUAAGGAAUAUUGGUCAAUGGACGCAAGUCUGAACCAGCCAUGCCGCGUGGAGGAUGAAGGUCCUCUGGAUUGUAAACUUCUUUUAUUUGGGAAGAAACCCACGAUUUCUAUUGUGGUUGACGGUACCAGAUGAAUAAGCACCGGCUAACUCCGUGCCAGCAGCCGCGGUAAUACGGAGGGUGCAAGCGUUAUCCGGAUUCACUGGGUUUAAAGGGUGCGUAGGCGGGUUGGUAAGUCCGUGGUGAAAUCUCCAAGCUUAACUUGGAAACUGCCGUGGAUACUAUCAAUCUUGAAUAUAGUGGAGGUGAGCGGAAUAUGUCAUGUAGCGGUGAAAUGCUUAGAUAUGACAUAGAACACCCAUUGCGAAGGCAGCUCGCUACACUAUUAUUGACGCUGNNNCACGAAAGCGUGGGGAUCAAACAGGANNAGNUACCCUGGUAGUCCACGCCCUAAACGAUGAUUACUCGACAUCAGCGAU
rnacentral:rRNA from 1 species